rnacentral:piRNA from 1 species
UUAAUAGGAUUCGCAAUAUUG